rnacentral:lncRNA from 1 species
CAGACACACACUGGGAGGGACAAGGCCCUCAACUGGUGCUGCAGCUCAGGUAGAAGGAAGGCAGGCAGCAGAUAGUCUGAGAAUCAUACCACCUGUUGCCUGCCUGAACCAAGAACCAGAUCCCAGAGAAGGACUGUGCCAUAUUAGUUGGUUGCAGAUCUGCUAGGAUCCUAACGUUGAGAGAGAUCUAACAGGUGCUCCCUGCCUGACUAUCAGCACGGAUACGUAGUUUUCAUCUGUGGAGAAUUUUCUAACUUU